UUUAUUUUCUUCUUCAGUUCUUCCGUAAGAAAACGGCUGCCAUAGUUCCCAUCUUUUGAACUCAGAAGAAAGUAGAACUCGAUGAUUUCAAUGGUGAAUCAAUCAUGGACUGAGAGUAUUCGAAGCAAUAGAAGUUGGACUAUCCUCUCUGGGAAGGAGUUGUAAUGCCUCAAAAAUCAGAACCAACAGAGUACACGAGCGGUGUUUGCUAAAAUGCCUAAAUGAAUUGAUUAGUUUUUAUGCUACGGUAAGGCUGUUGUUGCUGAAUGAGGGGUUUAAUGGGUCCAGGUGGUGUUAAAUGUUGUCAUCAGUUGAAGGACAUGGUCCGGGUAGGAAGCGGAGUUGUGUUUGGCAGAGAGAAUGCUCACUGAGCAUGCAGAUGUCAUAACUUUUGAUGGCGAGGAAGAAGAUUUGAAAGAAAUACUACACAUCUAGAGUUUGCGGAUAUUCCUUUGGGAGAGUUCAUCAAGCACACCCUAAUGCGUUGUAUGCUAGACGAGCUAGCAAGAAUAUCAUUCUGUUUAUGGAUAAGACAUCCGUCAAAGUGAAGACCUAACUCUUCUUUGAUCAAACUUCCAAUGCUUGGACAGUUAAUGGCAUUAGUGUUUAUUUGUGGAUGCUUAUGGAUUGCUGCUCUCGAAGUUGCAGCUGCAAUGGCGAUUCAGACAGCUCGGGUUAGUUGUGAAUCUAAAUUAUGAGUUCUUGAGAUUUCAGUUGAAGACAGAAAUUUGCGGCAGUCAGAUUGGGGAACGGGGAAUGAUGUUGAUCUGAGUUUGUUGUGGGGUUAGCUAAUUAGCUUUGCAAUCGGUGGACGGUGGUAGAAAUGAGAAUUUGUUGGUCAAUAGACACAGGUGGUGAUGGAUUAAAUUUGCUGGUGGUAAUGGGUUUUAUCUACAUGAUAUUUGCAAGCUAAUUGAAGACAAAUUACUGAUACCGAAGGAAGUAAUGGUUGUGUUGGCUCGAUGGGGUUAGAUGAGUGUUUAGAGUUCAGGAAAGCUUUGAUGAUAGUGGAGAUGUUCAUAGUUACAAAUAAGUAUGGGGAUCUGAUAUAGGUAUUAUCUGGAGUUAGAAGUGGUGAACCGGUGGUGUUUGGAUGGGAAAUAUUUGCAGGAACUGGUGGUUACUGUGGGUUCUUUGCAUGAGCCGAAAUUGGGUUCAUUUGAAAGGAAUUAGUUGGUUGCAGGAUUCUCAAACUGGUGGUGGUCGUUGGUACAAAUUUUGGGGAUUUUGGCUCAGUGAAGUGGGUUUGAUGUUUGAGAAUUAUCUCAAUAAAUCAGACAGGGGAAGAGGUUUAUUGACAGAGCUGUUGACAUGGGUAUGGCUGCAUGCAGGGAAGGAGAUGUGCCUGAGUCGGAAGAAUACAGCAAACUCACCUCCACCAACACAUAUUCACACCCCAUAUAUGUUUGAAGAAAGUCUCGAAAAAGUUCUCAUCUACAUCACUGAUCUGCAUAAUACAUUCACCAGGUCUGCAACAGACUUUGUUUGAUGUAUCAAGGAAUGAAAUUAGCAGCGUCAGUGGAAGGGAGUCCUUAUAUGGUUAGUGUAAUUAAUUAUAAGUGCUUAAACUUAUUUGAUCAGGUGCAGUGACAGUGUACAAUGAUUUAAAAUUAUUUUAUUUUGAUUAUAUCUC